rnacentral:rRNA from 1 species
UGAACGCUGGCGGCAGGCCUAACACAUGCAAGUCGAGCGGUAGCACAGAGAGCUUGCUCUCGGGUGACGAGCGGCGGACGGGUGAGUAAUGUCUGGGAAACUGCCUGAUGGAGGGGGAUAACUACUGGAAACGGUAGCUAAUACCGCAUAACGUCGCAAGACCAAAGUGGGGGACCUUCGGGCCUCAUGCCAUCAGAUGUGCCCAGAUGGGAUUAGCUAGUAGGUGGGGUAACGGCUCACCUAGGCGACGAUCCCUAGCUGGUCUGAGAGGAUGACCAGACACACUGGAACUGAGACACGGUCCAGACUCCUACGGGAGGCAGCAGUGGGGAAUAUUGCACAAUGGGCGCAAGCCUGAUGCAGCCAUGCCGCGUGUGUGAAGAAGGCCUUCGGGUUGUAAAGCACUUUCAGCGGGGAGGAAGGCGUUAAGGUUAAUAACCUUGGCGAUUGACGUUACCCGCAGAAGAAGCACCGGCUAACUCCGUGCCAGCAUCCGCGGUAAUACGGAGGGUGCAAGCGUUAAUCGGAAUUACUGGGCGUAAAGCGCACGCAGGCGGGCUGUCCAGUCGGAUGUGAAAUCCCCGGGCUCAACCUGGGAACUGCAUUCGAAUCUGGCAGGCUAGAGUCUUGUAGAGGGGGGUAGAAUUCCCAGGCGCAGCGGUGAAAAUGCGUAGAGAUCUGGAGGAAUACCGGUGGGGAAGGCGGCCCCCUGGACAAAGACUGACGCUCAGGUGCGAAAGCGUGGGGAGCAAACAGGAUUAGAUACCCUGGUAGUCCACGCCGUAAACGAUGUCGAUUUGGAGGUUGUGCCCUUGAGGCGUGGCUUCCGGAGCUAACGCGUUAAAUCGACCGCCUGGGGAGUACGGCCGCAAGGUUAAAACUCAAAUGAAUUGACGGGGGCCCGCACAAGCGGUGGAGCAUGUGGUUUAAUUCGAUGCAACGCGAAGAACCUUACCUGGUCUUGACAUCCACAGAACUUUCCAGAGAUGGAUUGGUGCCUUCGGGAACUGUGAGACAGGUGCUGCAUGGCUGUCGUCAGCUCGUGUUGUGAAAUGUUGGGUUAAGUCCCGCAACGAGCGCAACCCUUAUCCUUUGUUGCCAGCGGUUAGGCCGGGAACUCAAAGGAGACUGCCAGUGAUAAACUGGAGGAAGGUGGGGAUGACGUCAAGUCAUCAUGGCCCUUACGACCAGGGCUACACACGUGCUACAAUGGCAUAUACAAAGAGAAGCGACCUCGCGAGAGCAAGCGGACCUCAUAAAGUAUGUCGUAGUCCGGAUUGGAGUCUGCAACUCGACUCCAUGAAGUCGGAAUCGCUAGUAAUCGUAGAUCAGAAUGCUACGGUGAAUACGUUCCCGGGCCUUGUACACACCGCCCGUCACACCAUGGGAGUGGGUUGCAAAAGAAGUAGGUAGCUUAACCUUCGGGAGGGCGCUUACCACUUUGUGAUUCAU